AUUCCAUCCCCGUCUCUUCCAGUGCCCUCCCUGCUCACCCCAGGCGGCAUCAGGAAAUGUCACCCUCGGUCCCCCAGGUCCAAAGGGCACCAAGGGCGAGCGGGGCCUCCCUGGCACCGCCGGUGGCAAAGGGCAGAAGGGCGACCGUGUGAGUGUCCCUGAUGGCCCUGGCCUGUCCCUUUUGCUGGGGGACCGCUCCCUGCGGGGUCCCCGGCAC
rnacentral:lncRNA from 1 species